GGCCUUAUAGCUCAGCGGUUCAGAGCAUACGAUUGCAGCAGUGGUACACUAUCGUGUGGUCCCGUGUUCGAAUCACGGUGAGGCCU